CUUCUAGUUGUGGGAUGUGGGACCGCGCCUCAACGUGGCCUAAUGAGCGGUGCCAUGUCCUCGCCCAGGAGCGCGCGGACUUAACCACUCGGCCACGGAGCCGGCCCUUGUUUUUUCUUGAUUCAGCUUUGGGAGUUCGGCGACUUGGAUGGGAUAACAUUUCACUGACUGGACUCUGCUCGCUCCUGGCCUACUUCAGCUGAGAGAUCCUGGACCCCUGACAAGAGCCGGCAGGAGACACAGGAAUCUCUAUAACCCUGGUUGGGAGUAUGCUGAGGUGAAAGCUGAUGCCAAGGGUCAUCUUGGAAGCCAAAAAGCUGCAAAUUUGGUGGUUGUGGGUGGAGCAGUUAAGAACCAUUAGGGUGCUUGCCACCUCAAGAAGUCUCCCAUGAAAGGAUGAGUUGGUCAUGGAAUGAGGUGGAUGACACAGAUCCCCCUGUCAACUUCAAGAAAAUGUCUGUGCAAUGACAAGAGACCGAGCGAGAGGAGACCUCGCUGGCCUCGGCUGGAGAGGGACGCUGUUCCAGGCACAUUACUGCGUGUAUGAUCAGCAGCCGUGAACGUGUCCAGGGGCCGGCCGGGGGCUGAGUGGUUGGGUUUGCGCCCUCCACUUAGGCGGCCCGGGGUUUCACCGGUUCGGAUCCUGGGCGCGGACAUGACACCGCUCAUCAGGCCACACUGAGGCAGCGUCCCACAUGCCACAACUAGAAGGACCCACAACUAAAAAUAUGCAACUAUGUACUGGGGGGCUUUGGGAGAAAAAGGAAAAAUAAAAUCUUUAAAAAAAACAACAAAAAACCCCACCUUUCUGAACCCAAUCUCACAAUUUCAGCCUGUUUCUCACAGACCUCACAACUCAGCUGCACGGAGUCAAGGUGGGACCCACUUAAAGGGGAAAACAAUUUCCGAGCUGCUUUUUAGUGCUCAGGUAGCAUCGAGGUGAGGAAAAGGGGCUAAAGCUGCUGGACCUCGGCGAGCAGGAGCAGAGACGAGCCUGUCCUCCCCAGGAACGUUCCACUAAGAAACGGACAGCAAGGUCCCUGGUGGACUGCAGUUCAACUGAACUAGCCAGGCCGUACGGGAGGUCCUGCAGUCUAAAGGAUAGAGUGGGCUUUGUAGGUUCAAGGGCAUCCUGUGCAGAAGGUGCCGGGUCUCUGUGCUCUGGAAACAUCUCUGCUAGUCUAGGUAAUUAAACCGGAACUGGUCUGCGAAGAGCCUGAAAGCCAGAAGUUAGCAGUUCCAGUCCUGCAAAGCAGGCCUUCCGGGUGGCAUUCUUGCCAAUAGCUGUGAUCAGAUUUGGUGGCAACAUGGCUAAACUGGUGGUAGUUUCCGAGUGGCCAGGU
rnacentral:lncRNA from 1 species